ACAAUUCCUUUUAAUAUAUUUGGUAGUGACUUAACCAUAGAGGGUCUUAUUUGGUCUUCACUUGUAUACUAACUAUAACAUUUGUUUGAUACUACGAGUACAGCAGACAAAUUGUCAACAGGCUGUUGAGUAGUCAUGUGUAAAACGGGGACAUUAUAUAUGUUCCAUUUUUAAAUAUAAGGACUAUAAAAAUAAACGCACAAAUAACAAAGAUCGCUAAUAGACAGAUCUCUUGUGAAAACUUUCGAUUCUUGAUUGUUUUCAAUCGCAUUUUAAAUACGCUCAGUUUCAAAGUUUUGCAAGUCGCUGGUUUGUUUAGAAAUCUGUCUAUUAAUUCGUCGAUAUUUUGACAUAUCCGCUGAAGACUGUGAUCUCAUUUCUUGCCUUACUUCCAUUUGGAAGGUGGUAGUUAUAUAUUCUGCUAUCAAAGCGGUUCCAGCUGAGAAGACUCGGGUCUUGAAUGUAGGUACAAUUAGGUCGGGGACUUCACUAGUCUACACCUUACAGAUUCAACGUGCCUCUAAUCAUUCGGUGAUCACGAUGAUCUUAAAAAGUGCUACAUAGAUCACUAACUGGAAAAUGUUAUAAGUUUUAUGUUAACACUAUGGUGUAUGGACAUGGUUGCAUGUAAAUUGGAGUUGGUUCAAAACUUCUGAAAAUUAGACAUAAUUUUCUUAAAUAUGAUAAUGGUAAAUAUGUUAAAUAGGAUAAUGUCUCGGCAGACAGACUAUAGCUUGGCAAGUUCAUUCGUAAUACUCCCGUACACAAGCUGUAGUAGCAAUUAUGGGAUUAUGGAUAUUAAAAAUAAUAAUAUAAAAAAGAAGGCUCAGAAAAGUUUGGUAUACUAGCCAUCAUUCCUCGGAUAAAAGCAUCUGGUCUCCGUAGCGCAGUGGUAUGCACGGUGGAUUUACAAGCAGAGGUCCUGGGGUUGGAUCCCCGGCUGGGCUAAUUGAGGUUUUCCUAAUUGGUCCAGGUCUGGCUGGACUGGCUGUGGCUAGUUACUGCCCUACCGGCAAAGAAGUACCGCCAAGCGAUUUAACGGUACGAUGUCGCGUAGAAACCGCAAGUGUGGAUCUUCAGACUCCUAACAAAUUACCCGCUACCAUCUUAGAUUCUUAGAUUGCAUCAUCACUUACCACCAAAAAAAAAACUCGUUUUUCGCCAACCGUGAGUGUUUUUUGGUGGCAGCAGUGAAUAUAACACCUUAUUUAAUUGAGAUCUUAUCAACAAACAAAUUAAUAAUGAGGUUAUAAAUCUCUAGUCAUUUUACACCUACUGAUAAUUUUAAUUAACUUUUUCCGAAAUUAAUGACAAUAAAUUUUAUUAAUAAGCUUAGAACAGUUAGAUAAAGUUAAUAUUUUUUGCAUAAUAUUUUAUAGAAAACCUUCAACAUUUUCUUUUAAUAAAAUAGUUAUGAAAUGGCAUGCAUUUACUAACCUGUUUUUUAUUUGCUUGUUGAUAAACAUUCCACAUCAAGCUAGGCUUUAAAUGACAAUGAGUAUUCACCCAAAAUGAAGUGAAGACAAAAAACGAUGUAUCUGUAUUCACAGUACUCACUUUAAAACUAAAAAAUGGUACUUAGGCCAUGAAAAAUAGUGAAAGUACAAAAUGCUGUGAAUGUGCGUUUUCGAAGUUUCUAAGUGAAGUUUUAGACACUGACAGAGAAGUUGACCAGUUUUUGUAUUGACUUACAAUUAAGUUUACCAAUAUAAAGUUGCACUUCUAGAGAAGUCUGAAGAGAUUAAUAAAAUUGCUUGAACUUGACAACACACCAAGAUUCAGCUUAAUAACGGCUUAGGUAUUACGAUGACUUCCAUAAAAGUAAUCAUGUUUGGGACUCAACUUUUUAAUGAAAGUUUGAGAAGGUCCCGCCCUACGAAUAUCUGGAAGGUUUGGGAAAUAAUCAAAACAUGAAAGGGAAAAAUAUGAGCAACAACCGCAUCUGCCUACAUCUUAAAGCCUACUCCAAGGUAUUUGAAAAGAUAACUCUGUCCAGAUUCAAAACAUUUUUUCAUGAAAAGAAAAUAAUUUGGAUUCAGAGAUAGAAGAGAGUAGUCAAAAAAUGUACAGCACAUUUGGCUAAUAAACAAUAUAGCUCUGCUGUGUUUUUGGAUGUUCAACAGGUGUAUGACAAGGUCUGGCACAAUGAAAUGCUCUUUAAAGUGAAGCAUUGUCUCCUACGCAACAUUUUCACAAUACUAAAUUAAUUUUUGUCAAACAGAAAAUAUUAGCUGGUUUUCAAAUUGAGGACCAAGGAUGUGAUGCAGAGUGAGAGUGUUUACGAGCGGUUAUUGUGAUUCAAGAUCUCAGUGAUUCAAUAGUGACAUUAGCGGGCAUUUAAACAUAGUUUGUUAUGUUUUAUUUCAAUAAAGGCAUAUUACGGUA